rnacentral:rRNA from 1 species
AGAGUUUGAUCCUGGCUCAGAACGAACGCUGGCGGCAUGCCUAACACAUGCAAGUCGAACGGGAGCCCGGCUUCGGCCGGUCACUCUAGUGGCGGACGGGUGAGUAACGCGUGGGAACCUACCCUAAAGUGAGGAAUAACUACUGGAAACGGUAGCUAAUACCGCAUACGCCCUUUGGGGGAAAGGCUUCGGCCGCUCCUGAUGGGCCCGCGUCGGAUUAGCUUGUUGGUAGGGUAACGGCCUACCAAGGUGACGAUCCGUAGCUGGUCUGAGAGGAUGAUCAGCCACACUGGGACUGAGGCACGGCCCAGACUCCUACGGGAGGCAGCAGUGGGGAAUAUUGGACAAUGGGGGAAACCCUGAUCCAGCAAUGCCGCGUGAGUGAAGAAGGCCUUAGGGUUGUAAAACUCUUUCGCCGGUGAAGAUGAUGACUGUAACCGGUAAAGAAGCCCCGGCUAACUCCGUGCCACAGCCGCGGUGAUACGGAGGGGGCUGGCGUUAUUCGGAAUUACUGGGCGUAAAGCGCACGUAGGCGGCGUGUCAAGUUAGAGGUGAAAGCCUAGGGCUCAACCCUGGAAUAGCCUUUAAAACUUUCAUGCUAGAGUACUGGAGAGGGUAGUGGAAUUCCUAGUGUAGAGGUGAAAUUCGUAGAUAUUAGGAAGAAUACCAGUGGCGAAGGCGGCUCACUGGACCGGUACUGACGCUGAGGUGCGAAAGCGUGGGAGCAAACAGGAUUAGAUACCCUGGUAGUCCACGCCGUAAACGAUGAGUGCUAGUUGUCAGGAAGCUUGCUUUUUGGUGACGCAGCUAACGCAUUAAGCACUCCGCCUGGGGAGUACGGUCGCAAGAUUAAAACUCAAAGGAAUUGACGGGGGCCCGCACAAGCGGUGGAGCAUGUGGUUUAAUUCGAAGCAACGCGAAGAACCUUACCAGCCCUUGACAUACCUAUCGCGGAUUUCCGAGAGCAGAUCUUCAGUUCGGCUGGACAAGAUACAGGUGCUGCAUGGCUGUCGUCAGCUAGUGUCGUGAGAUGUUGUGUUAAGUCCCGCAACGAGCGCAACCCUCACCUUUAGUUGCCAGCAGGUUAAGCUGGGCACUCUAGAGGAACUGCCGGUGACAAGCCGGAGGAAGGUGGGGAUGACGUCAAGUCCUCAUGGCCCUUACGGGCUGGGCUACACACGUGCUACAAUGGCGGUGCAGUGGGCAGCGACCUCGCGAGGGGAAGCUAAUCUCUAAAAGCCGUCUCAGUUCGGAUUGCAGUCUGCAACUCGAGAGCAUGAAGUUGGAAUCGCUAGUAAUCGUGGAUCAGCAUGCCACGGUGAAUACGUUCCCGGGCCUUGUACACACCGCCCGUCACACCAUGGGAGUUGGUUUUACCCGAAGACGGUGGGCUAACCUUUUCGAAGGAAGCAGCCGGCCACGGUAGGGUCAGCGACUGGGGUGAAGUCGUAACAAGGUAACC